UCCCAGGGCCCAACACAAACCCUGAGGGAGCUGAUUUGCCACAAGCCAUCUCCCCAGAUCCCUGGUCCGGCACACGGUGCAGCUCAUGGAGGGGAUGGUGGCCCCGGCACUGUCACAGGGAGGAUCAAACCCUGCAAAGCCAGGUGUGGCUGCUGAAUCAACCUGCUUUGUCUCUCUCUCUUUCAUCCCUCCUGUGCUCACCAUCACCAUGCUCUAACCCCUCCUGUGGCCUUUCCAUCUCUGGUGUUCCAGAACUGAACUGCAGUUUGUAUGACCAACCCAGCAUUUCUUUGCCACAGAUCCCUUGGGAUGAGUGACCAGGACACACCGAGGGCCAAGCACAGGCUCAAACCUCAAACUGUUCAAUGCAUUUUGCCACAGAUGGAGCUUGGGGCUGGUGUGGAGCACCCAGAUCAAGAUAUGCAUCUUUCCACAAUGGCUUUAUAUAAAUACAAGCUUGGACUACAACCUGAGUUAAAAAGGAGCAGAAAAAGGUACUGUGGAGUCUGGAAGUUUGUUAGGCACCAAAUCAGCCUUGGGAGAUGGACAGAGAGAGAGGGACAGUCACCUCUUCAAGCCAAAUGUUCAAAAGCAAUAAUUCCUCCCUGUCUCAUGCAGGCAGUUCUGUGUGAUUGGGUGUUUGCUUGUGGACAAAGCCUCGGAUGAGCAGAGAAUCGCAUCCCAGCCCUGCAGCACCAACAGCAGCUGGCUGAUCAGCCCCAUCCCUGUGGGAUCCCACAGCCAGGCCCUCCCAUCUCCGCAGCAAGGCACCCCCCAGGGCAGAGCUGGGCAGGUCUGAGCCCCUGGGAUGAUGGAUUUAGGGACAGGAAUUGCCAGGCACUGCAUCCAGACCACGGUGCUUUGCUGGGUCACAGCAUCACCCCCAAACCCAGCCAGGUCUGACUCCACGAGGAAUGAUCUGCAGGCUCUCAAGCAGAGACUCCUCCAGGACUUCCAGAUCUUCCAAGGGAAUUCUCAGCAGCCAGCUGACACGGCAGAUCAACACCCUGGCUCGAGCAUCAUAGGAUCCUUGAGGAGAGAAAAGCCCAGGAAAUCAGCCUGAUCAGUCUGAUGCCACAGUUUAGUUAAGGAGCAGAGUACUCAAGGAAUGUGUCACAGAGCAGCUGCUUCCCCCAGGCCCUCCUUUUCUUCCAGGAACAUGAGAAGAGACUGAUAAAUGGAAAAUCCUUCUUCCCUGCAAACAGAGCCACCACACCAGCAUCUACUGCUUCCUGAUGUUUGGCGUUUAUAAAGGGUUCUUGGUGCACUCUGGGAUGGAAAUUUUUCUCAAGGCAACCAGCAGAAAGUAUUUUAGGCUGAGAUUUUCAUAACAGCUUUACUGCCUUCCUAAAGGAAGAGAUCACCUGAUUCUCUGGAAACAUUGGAGAAAAACCACUCCACUCCACCACCAUUUACAUCUGCUUGGCAUUGGAUGGUGGGUGAAGGACUUUGGGCACUGGAACAUUUGGACCAGGAGCAGAUCCUCUGAGGCAUUUCAUGGACUGACAGGAGAGAGAAAAAGGUGGCUGAGGAAAUGGGAGGCAGUCAAGGUGACCAGAGUUGUUCACUGCUCUCUUAUCUCCCCAUGCACAGCCGAGUUCUCACAUCUGCUGUUCUCCAGGCCAUUGCUCAAGGUGAGUGUGUGAUAGCCCUUACUCAGCCAAUAUCAGAGCACUGGGUGCCCUUGGGGUGUCUGGCUCAGGGUGACAGUGCCCACGUUCCAUGUGGCACCAGCAACAACCUAAUGCUCUCUUCACCCUGCAUGGCAUAACAUGAGGUUGGAUGAGGAGAGAUCUUCCCCAGCAAAAGCAAAUGCUGCCAAAAUGCUUCACCUCUUUUACCUAUCCACCAGCUUUUACAGCAGAACAUUAUGGAGCAGUCCCAGUUUCACUUCCUCAGUAAAAGAAAAUAGAGUCACAAUAAUUUCCUUCUGGUCAAAAUGUACUCUGGGAAAAAGACUUUGGAAAUUGUGCUCCUUGGAGCAUGUGUGUGGAGGUGGUUUGUGAUACAAAUAUAGUGAAGGGGCUUUCAGACAAGUGAGAAUCGUGUCUACUGUGUUCAGGGUGUCACUAACAUCUGUACAACAAGUGUAUGAAUGGAGACCACUGCAGUAAAAGAAUCAAAGUAAAAACUUUGUCAGUUCUCUGUUCUGUAAAGUGAAACCAUCAAAGACACAACUCAGCAGACAGUGACCAUGCUUCAUGUUCAUAAUUUCCAUGAAGUCUUUAUGGAUAGACUGCCAGUCCCCCCACAGCUGCUUAUAAAUAAAUGCCUAUCAGAAAUAUUGGUUUUAUUUCCCUGACUGCACAAACACCACUUCAGCUGCAAACAGACAGAUAUGACAAACUUCUUUUGCAAAGCAAACAAGGGUGAGGGGAGCACAUGGACUUACCUGGGUAAUGAGAAGUGGAUUUUCUUUCAAGAUGGGAUCCUUCAGCAAAAUUUCAGUGAAAGUUUCUGUGCCCUCACCUCCCAAGCCAUCAGC